UAUAGUAUAUGGAUCAUUUUUUGAUAUACCACCUCGAGUAUUUUUCCAUGUUCAGAAAGACACUGAAUAUCGAAAGAAAUGGGAUAAACUUGUAAUUAAAUUAGAUAUUAUUGACAGAGAAGGUGAAGAUGGUAAUGAAGUGGUUCAUUGGGUUAUGCAUUAUCCUAAAUUCUUCUUCUGGCAACUUCUUAACAUAAGG